rnacentral:rRNA from 1 species
UACGGGGGGGGCAAGCGUUGUUCGGAAUUACUGGGCGUAAAGGGCUCGUAGGCGGCCAACUAAGUCGGACGUGAAAUCCCCAGGCUCAACCUGGGAACUGCGUCCGAUAUUGGAUGGCUUGAAUUCGGGAGAGGGAUGCAGAAUUCCAGGUGUAGCGGUGAAAUGCGUAGAUAUCUGGAGGAAUACCGGUGGCGAAGGCGGCAUCCUGGACCGACAUUGACGCUGAUGAGCGAAAGCUAGGGGAGCAAACGGG